GAGAAAUGCAGUUUACAGUUCAGAUGCAAAGACAAAGCAAGUAUACAAAACAAUCAGAAUAAUUACAGGGAAGCAGCGUUAUACCACACAGAUUAACUGUCUUAUAGACAGUGAUUCUGCAUAUUGGUCUCAUGCAAAGAAGCACCCAAGGAUAUUUGUUUUUUAGAGAAGGAAGUCGAGUAAUCAGAGGAAACAAGCCUGGUAAAACAAGACACUGAAUGAGUGAUGUUACUUUUACUGCAUUAGGACCUAACUUGUGCUGUCUUUGUGUGAUCGCUGUUGCUCCUUGGAACACUUUCUACAGAGACCCAUACUGCAAAUUCAGCCCUGGAAGAAGCAGUAGAGAUGCCUUCUGGACAGUUUCAUCUCUUCCUUGCAAGCCUGCUAUGAAGGAGCCUCGUGAGAGAAGUCACGCGCACAUAGUGGGAGUCUCUUCCGUUUCCCAUCACGUGCUGCUCAGAGCCUUUGCGUUGAACGUUCAGCCUAUGAUCCUUCCUGUGUGCUUCCCACUCCUGUGGCUUCUUCUCCGUCAACAGAUUCCAACUUGUCAGAACUCAUAAAGUGCACAUGUCACCCUCCACAUGCUUUGUGGUACCCCUGGUCUUGGUUACACCAAUUCUGAAGUGGAGUGCCCAACACGCCUGAUUCCUUGGCUUGAAGGAAAGAACACUGAAUCAGAAGCUAGAAAGCCUGGAUUCGUGUCCCAGGCCUGUGCCACACCACCUGGUGACCUAACAGGUUGUUUUACAACCAUGUUCUACUCUUUCUCUCCCUGAGUGAUAAAUGCAUUCUGAAUUAUACACCCAUAGAAUGUGUGCUCACCUACCCUUCUCCCUAGAUAAAGACUAUUAGUCAUUCAUUCUCACUGUGAAUCAGUUUAAUCAGAUUGUAAGUGGGUGUUGGACAGCAUUGCCAAAUGGAGAAGGCAGGCCUAGAAGAGGCCUAGGAGGAAAGGAAGCAAAGAGGCCAAGGGGAGUCUUUGAUAAGUACCACAGGACUGCACUGGCUUCUAGCAACAGGAAAGAGGAGUCAGGAGCCGGGAGAUCACUGGUCAAAAAAAACUACCUUUGCAAAAACACAGGAAUUUAUCAUGAAAACAAAGAGCUCGAUAAAGGACAGAAAUGGUAUGGACCUAACAGAAGCAGAAGAUAUUAAGAAGAGGUGGCAAGAAUACACAGAAGAACUGUACAAAAAAGAUCUUCACGACCAAGAUAAUCACAAUGGUGUGAUCACUCACCUAGAGCCAGACAUCCUGGAAUGUGAAGUCAAGUGGGCCUUAGAAAGCAUCACUAUGAACAAAGCUAGUGGAAGUGAUGGAAUUCCAGUUGAGCUAUUUCAAAUCCUGAAAGAUGAUGCUGUGAAAGGGCUGCACCCAAUAUGUCAGCAAAUUUGGAAAACUCAACAGUCCUCAACUUUUCCAGAGGACUGGAAAAGGUCAGCUUUCAUUCCAAUCCCAAAGAAAGGCAAUGCCAA
ensembl:lncRNA